CUGUAUGACAACACAACAAAACGUCUAAGGUAACCAGAUGGAUUGUGCAUUAACACCAAGCACAUGGGGUCGCUCUGCGCGAGCAGACCAUAUUUCAGGAAUUUCUUUAAAGGCUCUGGCAUUCAUGAAUACAUGAUACAAUGUUCCGCUCGAGAAUGGAGACUUUUCCGGACUGGUGAAGGACAGUCCACUUUUUUUUCCGCCAAAGAAAAUGUUGCAAUUAGUCCCCGAGGAUAGGCUUUCUUAAUCGGCGUGUGUGCAACACCGCAAAUAAGAGGGGUGCGGUGUUGAGAUGUGAAGUACCAAGAACUUCGCACUCCACGGCAACAUUGUCGAUUCUUCAAGCGGGAGGCUUUUCACAAGUGGAGUCGCUUAGUGGAAGUGUUGUGGCUCGGGAGAUUACAUGACAAAGAAGACAUCGGCUCAUCUCUACAUCUGAGUCUAUUUCUUAUAAAACCUCAAGUCAACCAUUGGUCCUGCAAUCGUCUGACAACGGACUUCACAUUUGACAGUGCUCCGUGGCUGAGGAGAGGAAGGAGGACCAUCGUGUUACUGGUCAUGAGUGAAUGAAUGAGCACCUCCACAGCACACAGAGCAAUGGUAAUCGUUUCCAUGGGGACAGAAGGGUAUGUCGUUUAAACACAAGCUCUUUGUGUGGACAAUGAAUGAAAUGAUGUCGGUCAAGGUAGGCAGUGUGCAUUGUUUUUUUUAGAAAAGUGUCCCUGCCCCUAAAGGAGCUAUAGAAAUAUAUGACUUCUUUAUUAUUUAUUAUUGGGAGAAGAUGAUGAGAUACAAAGAAUUUAACAAUCUGUAUGGGUAGGUUUUUCCCACUACUAAGCUGUUUCCUGAUAGCCUCAGACUGAGGGAAAGUUCAUGUGUCAAAGAGCAUUUCUGAUGUUUCUGUGCUCUAGUGUGCCACAACAGGUAUUUCAGUUGUUCUCUCUUCUUGUCUCUUUUUGAAGUUUUUCAGUUCAGUUCCACCCAGGCUGCGAGCCUUUGACACAGCAAUGGAGUCCAUGAGUCAAGUAGCGCAGCUACACCUUCAGAGCCCCCGUGACUUGCAAGCUGAUUUAUGGACAUACAGACAAGUAGCGAGAUCAAAGCGUGAGAGCACCUCCGUCUGACAAUGAGGGACGAUGGGCGGAGGGGUUGGCAGGCGUGGGGUGGGGUGGGGUGGGUGGUCGAUGAGUCACCGUGAGAUCUGGGCACACCCUGUAGGCGAGCCUGGGCUCUCCUCUCCCCGUCCCGUGCGCUAGCUGGAUGCCGUCUCGUGCGCUAGCUGGAUGCCAUCUCGUGCGCUAGCUGGAUGCCGUCUCGUGCGCUAGCUGGAUGCCGUUGGCUGGCUGGGCGUGGACUGACAAAGGCGCCGUGUGCCCCGCGCUCAGGAGUCAGGAGCCGUUGAGCAAACACGGGCGCACAAAAGCCAGGACAAACAAGGAGGUCCCCCCCCCCCCCAAAAUUAUCCCCCAGAAGAAACAAACUGCCCCAACCUGAAUUUGGCCCAAUGGUUUGAAACGCCCACCGAUAAACCUCGAAGGUCCUCUUGUCAUAACAUCUCGAGUGAUUGUCUUCUCCCCAAACGCAGGAUAGAUCUGUGAUCAGCGUAUUUUAACAGCAGGCAUGUGAGCCAGUGCCGAGGUUGUACACUUCAAUAAUUAGCCAGAGGAACACAGUUAACGUUCCAAAUUUGUGAUGACGGAUUGAUUAUUAUUGAAUUUAUUAAUUCAUUUCAACAACCACUGCAUGAAUUGCAUUAUUAAUAUGUGCAUGCCGCGCUUGUUUCAGAUGUGGGGCUGGUUAUGUGAAGAGAUCAAGCAGAGCAGCUCCCUUGGGCAUGAUGGGUCCACAGCACUGGGCUGACAGCGUAUUUUAACAGCAGGCAACAAUUUAGCCCUCCUCCAGCCGGCUGGCGAACCCAUCCGUGUAUUGCCACUGUAAACAAUACAAAUGCUGUGCAGUGUUGCACAAUGGAGGGCCAUAUGAAGAAGCUGGGGGUGGGGGUGGGAGAGAGGUUAUGGAAACACCCCACACAGCUCCCAGGCUCUGCCUUCAGGCCCGGGCUGCAGGCCAUGCGGGGGGAUCUCCUGACUAACGACAGCAUUCAUGACUGUUGCAUUCUGAAAAAAAAUCCCAUAUUGUCUGUUGUCAUAUGACGACUUCUGUAAUUUGGGUUUAUUGUUGUGAAACAAAUUAGCAACUGUGGAAGUACACCCCCAGUUGGAGUUGGUCUGCUCUGUGCAUGACCGCAUCCCAUACGACCUCUCCUAUUAUUUUCCUUUGGUCUCAGGUGGCAUGUCCUAUAAAUGUGGUGGCCACUGAAAGAAAUCAAAUCUGACCUGGGAGUGAUCCUGUUCCUGGUGGAGUAGUUUUGUUUUCCUCUCCCUCCUUAGUCUUAAGGCCCAUUUUGUCAUGUCGGUUCUGGCUAGCAACAACUCUGCUUGCUUAUGCUAAAACUAGCAUCCAGACUGCAUUUAAUCAGCGUGUCCUUAUAUAUGUGAGAAAUAUUUGUCAGGUUGAGACAGUCCCAGUAUAUUUGAGACGCUGACUCAUCACGGAAGCAUUCGUUGGCGUUCUGAGACAACCACUACUCUCUGUGGCAGUUGAAAGUAUUAAACAUGUUUUUGACUAGCUUGGGAUCAAUAGUGUAUGCUAGCAAAGCGUGACCAUUUACAUUUCAAAAGCCAGCUUGAGUUGUGUUUCUGCGCUCUCUAGAAUGUCGUGUGCACAAACGAAAUGCCAUAGAUAUGAGGCUCAUUAUCAGAUUGGGACAGGAGCGGCCAUGUGUGCUAGUGGGGGUCUGAGCUAACACCAGGCUGUGGACCUUCAGCUCGCAAAUAGCUUUUGGCUAGUUUGACAAUUAUACAAUUUGAAUGGGUAAACAGGGAUGAUGCAUUUGACAUAUUAACUGUUGAUUUGAUUAAUCAAACUAUUGAACUGAACUGUUGACAUAUUAACUGUUAGAGUUGAUUAGUCAAAGCUUCUGUUUUACAUCAAUGAUAAAAUGAGAAAGUAGUUCAAAAGGUAGAAUGUUUUUUUCAUUAUUUAUUCAUCUAUUUGGAUCUAAAAUGGUACACAUACCUCAUUGUUGAGCAGUAGGCUAAGAGGCAUAUUAAUUACUGAUUGAUUACUAGCCAUCUGUAACUUGUAUUACAACUCCAGGGGCCUCAGGUGACCAAUUGCUCAGCUGCGCGCCUACUGGGCUCUCUGGCCAGACGCUCCGCAUCCAACAGGCGGUCUGUUUGACCCCUCCAAAAUCAACAUAACUGAUAUGUCCUAAAUCUUGUCAAAUAUGUUGUGCGCAUAAAUAAAACCAAAGUCCAAAUCUA